UGAGAGGGAGAGACAGGGAGAGAGGAGGGGCAGUGAUUCUGCGUUCCUUAAUUUUGCAAAAUUAAUUUUAGCCAGGCUCAGGGAAGGCAGGGGUGAAAGCAGGAGAAUCCCUGUUCAUUCUGCCUGUCCUUACUGCAUAAACCCCCUGAAUUUUCUUGUGCACGAUAACCCUCAAGGACUGAAGCUGGGACUGGGAAAAACAGCUGCAUUGUGCUGCAGGCUCAAAUCCUGCCACAGCUAUAAUCUCUGGGACUCAAACAGGAUUCUGCAGAAGGCCAGGAUAAUAUUUAGUGUGAAUUAAAGGCACAUUUCUUUCAGGGUUAUGAAUCUGCUAUCUCCCUGGACGGGCACACAAAGGAGCUGGGAAGGAGUUUUAAAGGGAGAACCUCAAGGCUCAGGGAAGUGCUCAAGGUCACUCAGUGUUUAAAUUUUCCAGAACUGCUCAUUCUCAGUCCCUUCCUUUAGAGAAAGCUCUUGCUUAUCAGUGGCCUUCAAAAAAAUUGAGAGCUGUGUUUCCAGACAGAUUGUGUUUGUAUUCUGACACCUUCUUCAAGCAAAAAAGCUCUUCUUGAGCAAGCAAGCAUGGAGGGUUAGAAGGAGCUGCAACAUGGCUGCAAUGAGACUUUAUCAGCACCUAGAACAGAUUUGGAGUUUUUCAUGAGCCCACCACUGAAAAAACCCAAAUAUUUCCACAUGCUGAGGCCCUGUGUGAUAGCUGACCAUGUGUUUACACACAGAAGAGCAUUCAGAUGUCCACUUGUGCCAUUUCCCCCCUUCCCUGCUUUUCUUAAGUAUCUUUUCAUUGCAAUCUAUUAG